rnacentral:rRNA from 1 species
AUUGAACGCUGGCGGCGUGCUUAACACAUGCAAGUCGUGCGGGUAACAGGCGUAGCAAAUACGUGCUGACGAGCGGCGAACGGGUGCGUAAUACAUGGGAAUCUGCCCUUUAGUGGGGAAUAACCCGGCGAAAGCCGGGCUAAUGCCGGCAUAAGAUCUUCGGAUGAAAGCGGGGGGAUCGUAAGACCUCGCGCUGAUGGAUGAGCCCAUGUCGGAUUAGCAGUUGGUGAGGUAAAGGCUCACCAAAGGCGACGAUCCGUAGCUGGUCUGAGAGGACGGCCAGCCACACUGGGACUGAGACACGGCCCAGACU